AUUGAACGCUGGCGGCAUGCCUUACACAUGCAAGUCGAACGGUAACAGGUCUUCGGAUGCUGACGAGUGGCGAACGGGUGAGUAGUACAUCGGAACGUGCUAGUAGUGGGGGAUAACUACUCGAAAGAGUGGCUAAUACCGCAUGAGAUCUACGGAUGAAAGCAGGGGAUCGCAAGACCUUGUGCUACUAGAGCGGCCGAUGGCAGAUUAGGUAGUUGGUGGGAUAAAAGCUUACCAAGCCGACGAUCUGUAGCUGGUCUGAGAGGACGAUCAGCCACACUGGGACUGAGACACGGCCCAGACUCCUACGGGAGGCAGCAGUGGGGAAUUUUGGACAAUGGGCGAAAGCCUGAUCCAGCAAUGCCGCGUGCAGGAUGAAGGCCUUCGGGUUGUAAACUGCUUUUGUACGGAACGAAAAGCCCCGGGUUAAUACCCUGGGGUCAUGACGGUACCGUAAGAAUAAGCACCGGCUAACUGCGUGCCAGCCGCCGCCGUAA
rnacentral:rRNA from 1 species